rnacentral:snoRNA from 1 species
CCUGCAUCUAGAGGCAUUGUAGAUGCAGCUGCUGCAUCACGUGUGUGUCAGUAGGUGACUGAGAGGAGAAAGGCUAGAUCUAUAUGCUCAGUGUUCAGAUGUAUGAACAUCUGAAUAAUUAGUAGACUAACACU